UCGAUCAAAUAACCUAUCAACUUCUUCCUUGCAAUCAUAUCAUCUUCAGCAAAUAAUGCACAGUAUAAGAGACAUCGUUGUAGUGCUAAAUCACCUAACCGAUCAUAACUAAACCUCAAUAACCUGAAUACUUUCUCAUCUAUGUCCCUAAAUUCUGAUUCUCUCAAUUUGUUCAAUGUAUUUCUCCACUCAUGGGGGUCAUCCACUCCCCUCAAGCUUCUUGCUACUGUAAUAAUUCCCAACGGCAAACCAGCACAUUCCUUUGCAACAGCUUUUGCAAUCCCUUCCACUUCUCGCGAAAGUGCUAUGUCACGUCCAAGUUUCUCCAUGAACAAAGUCCAAGCUUCUCCAUCAAAAAGUGGCUUCACUUUGAUUUUACAAUGGCAAGCCAUCUGAUUACAAACCAUUUCUGAUCGAGUUGUCAUAAUCAGCUUGCAUCCUUCCAACUUCUUAGGAAUUCCCACUCUGUGUAGCUCAAAAUUGUUCCACAAAUCAUCUAGAAUGAGAAUCCAUUUUUGUUUCUUCCUUAGUUCUUCUGAAAAUUUGGCAGGUCUGAGUUGAACAUCAUCUUCGCUUGAAAGAUCUAGAUGAAGAUGUUUAGCAAUAAGAUUCUGCAAUCUAUUAAUGCUGAAAUCUUGAGACACAGUCACCCACCAAACAUGAUCACAGAUAUCUUGUCUUUGUAGAAGCUCAUUAUGGAUAUGUUGCAGUAUUGUUGUUUUACCAACCCCCCCCAUCCCAUAAAUGCCAAUGGUUGAGACUUCAUCAUCCAUUAACAAAGACCAUAUCACCUUCGUAUUCUCUUCAAAUGCUCGACCCACUAGCUUCUUAGAGCUAGUAGGUAAUGGAACUCCUCUAGUCUUGUUGUUUUUCAGAAUUUCAGAAGAUCUAGCUCCUGGGCCAGCCUGCACUACUGAUCUUCCACUAUUCUCCACUGGUUGUGUCCUCACUCUAACCAUGUCCUGUGCAUCUCCUCGAGGAGCACAAGGUUGAUCAUAACAUAUUCCAGAGUCAAGACAAAAUUGGGAUGCAUCUCCUCGAGGCUCCAGAAGCUGCUCUUGCUCUGUUCUUGGUACAGUCUCAAAUGCAUCAUGCCGAAAAGAUCCUUCACCAGUGUUUUGUUCCAACGCUCGAUCCACUGGUUCUGUCCUCGGUCUGCUCUCGAGUGCCCCUUCGGAAACUCCAUCUUCUGGUGCUCUCGUUCCAGUCAUGCUUACUACGUCAUUUCCUGCUAUUGCAUGUGAAGAAAUCCUCUGCUCCCCUACUGCGGGUUUUACAACCUGAACUUCUCUUUGUACCCUUCCAAUACCUCCUACCAUUGUUGAAAUUCCACAAUCAUUAACAUCGAUUGAACUUGCUGUGAUUUUAUGUCUUUUGUUGCCACCACACUUAGCUUUCCAGACUGCUUCUUGAACUUCUUUAGGCACCCCACGACAAAUGGCAACACCACGCCCUUCUUCUCCUGACAAAUGCCAUUUAAUCCUUGAAAUGGCAGUAUCCUUGGCAUAUGUAUGUGGACAAAACUUACACUUCAUCCUACCAUCAGCCCUAUAUUCAACAUAAUUCCAAAAUGGAUCCUUUGAUCCAACCAUUUCAACCUAUAGGAAAAAAAGGAGGGGGUCAAAAUAUAGAAUAAAAAUUGAUGCAAGUUACACCAUAUCCCGAUGGAUGAGAAACUACUUCUUCAGUGUUGUUACCCUUAUUUUGAUAUUAAAAUUGAUAGUUAGUUUAUUGCACAAUCAUAGGGGGGGAAAGACAACGAUAAUUCAAUUAUACUUCUUACUUGUUGAGUAUUUAAACCCCUAAUUUGACUUUGCAGGGAAGUCUCAAGGCCAGGAUUUUGCAAUCCUCGGACUUGGACGUUAUACAUCUGUGACCUGUAUAAAAAUGAAGUGAUCAUAUUAUAAAACCAAAAAUCAAUGGUGUAUUUAAUUAUAAAAAUGAAGUGAUCAUAUUAUAAAACCUUUCAAUAUUUGGUAGCCUCUCUUAAGCAGUAAAUAUCAAUGGUGUAUCUAAUUAUCAAAAAGGUGUUAAUACCGUGUUAAAACACAACAGCUAGAAGUCAAUCAGUACCUCGUAGAGUUGCCAGAGUUUCGAGGCACGAAGUUCUCUUGUUGCAUAUUGUCUAUGUCAGGAAUUACAGCAGCUUGAUCGUCUUGUCCUUGAUUAGAAAGAAAUUGAAUCCUGAAUCCAAAAUCAUUGGCAAGCAUUAUGAAGCAUUACAAACUUAUGAUUAUCUAGCUGGGUUCAUGUUCAAGCUAUGAUGGUACUUUCCUCUUUGAAAAACUAUUUCUUUUUUUUUUUACAGCAAAUACUAAAUAUGAAAAAUUGGAUACCAGGGAGCAGGAAAAGAAGGUCCAGAUUGAUUGAAGCCACCAUGUUGUGAAGUGGUUACAUUCGGUGUCAUAUAGCCAUGUCCCUUCUGAGCUUGAUGAAUAAAGGAGUUCUGAUGCCUGAAUAAUAUUCAAAUAGUUAAACACAGAACUGUUAUUGUCACAAAAAAGAGAGAUAGAGAGCUCAAAAAGACUUGAAAGAUCCUCGACCUCGUCAAUUUUGGUCAAGUUUAUUGUUUUCAUGAUUAAAAAAGUGUAUAUUCGAGGUUAAUACCAUUGAUUCAAUGGAGGUUGAGGUCCAGGUAGCAUCCCAGGCACUUGAUUGCUCAUAAUUGGUAACUGAUAAUUAGUCCAUUGUUGGUCCCUAAAUUAGCAACAUUUAUUAGUGAUUUCUUUAUACAUAUGCAUAGUUCUUUGCUAUUAAUCCACUAAGCAUUUGAUAUCAUUUUAGCUUACCUCAAAGGCAUUGAUGGUCCAGGUACCAUGGGAUUGGCACAUUGAGGAUCAAAUAAAUUAGGAUUAGGCUGAUACCUAUAUUCAAACAUAAUGAAUUCACUGAUAAGUACAACAACAAGAGGAAGAAGAAGAAGUUAAAUACUGAUUGAAAAACUUUUUUUUUUCAGAAAAUACUAAAUAUGAAAAAUUGGAUACCAGGGAGCAGGAGAAGAAGGUCCAGAUUGAUUGAAUUCACCAUGUUGUGAUGUGGUUGCGUUCGGUGUCAUAUAGCGAUGUCCCGUCUGAGGUUGAUGAAUAAAGGAAUAAUGAUGCCUAAUUCAAUGGACAUUGUAGCAAAUUGGAGUAAGCAUGAGUACUCACCAUGGUUUCAGGAAAUGAAGUUGGAAACUGAGUUGUUUGUUGAAUACUAUCGUUGAUCUCAUUGUUCUGUCCACCUUGAUCAUUGCAUAAUAUGGAGCCUUGGUUGACUGGAACCUCCGGUGCUGGCCUGCUUCCAUGGAAUAAAAUAGAGGAUAAACAGAAGAAUAACUAAAUUGCAAGCAAUCAUCUUCUGAUAAAAUAUGCUUAAGAAUGACGUACGAGAGAAGUUGUGAUUGAAGAUCGAAAAGAUCAUCAUCCAUAGAAGAUGGUUGGAACCCUUCCAUCUGACCAAAAGUACAGGAUGAUUAGUACAUCCUGAGGUGAAAAAAGAACAGAAAGUACAAAGCAAAGAAAAAAAAAAGUAUAUAUAUAUAUAUAUGGCAGUCCCAUUAAUUGGAAAAGAAAAGGGUGAAUCUAAAAUAAGGAGUUAAAAACACUACUUUACCUAAACAAUUAUGAAGCUUAGAAGAAGAUGCCUAGAAAAUGUAAACACAUGAAUAUGAGAAACAAUAAUAUACUUUUCUUUUUAAUUUUUUUUAUUUUAAAAAAAUUAAAAUAAUAUUUUUUUUAUUUUUUAAAAUUUAUUUUUAAUAAAAAAAUAAUAAUUUAAAAAGAAAAAUAAUCAAAGUUUUUGAAAAGCAUGUGCUCUAACAAUAACAGAUUAAAUAUGUGAUUAAAGGUUUUCAGUCGAUGCCAUUACAUGCAGUCAAAGACUCCAUCCUUACUUUUAAUAAACAAAACCUACACUCAAUAAUAUGUCCUAGUAUUUUUGGCCAGUGUUUUUCCGUGGUUGGAUUAAUUUUUUUAAAAUAUAAAAAUAAAAUAUUAAGAGUGAAGAAAGUUUGUUUGCGAUAUUAUUAAACCUGUUCAAGAAGUUAAUAUUAAAAUCUUCUAACCUAACUUUUUAUUUAAUUUAAAUUUUUAAUUAAAUUAUAUGAGAAUUAACUUAGUAUAUCCAAAUACAACUUAGAAAACUAGAAAAACAUGGUUUAGCUUUUAAAAAAACUUCUAGACAACAACUUUUUAAAAAAUAUAUAUUGAAACAAUGACAAAUUUGACCCGGUCCCUCGCAACCUGGGUCAUGAAUUCUAUUGGGUUUAGUAAUUUUUUAUAAGCUUUUUUUUAUUUAAUUAUAUGAUAAAAAUAGAUACUCAUAAAAUUGAGUAUCAUCCCUAGCUAAAAUAAAUAUUUAUUUAAGAUUUUGAUAACCCUAUAGAAAGCAAACAAAAAUAAAUUAUUUAGUCUAUUUCCAAACCAAUCUAAUAUUGAAAGAUAAAAUUAAAAAAAAUUAAAAAAAUUAAAAGAUAGAAACAAAAAAAAAACAUAUUCGAUCAAUGGGUAAACCUGUCUAACUUGUGAAUCAGGUAAUUUGAGCUAGCACAUUAAAUCUAUGAACUGGGUUAUGGACUUAACUAGGAUUAUAAUUUUUUUUAAAAAAAUUUUAUUUAAUAAUAUCAUAAUAAAAAUAGAUAAUUGUAAAAUUAAAAACCAACCCAAUAUAUAUUGGCUAUAUGACACCGAACGCAACCACUUCACAACAUGGUGGCUUGAUGGAGUUUGAGGCCAAUUUUAUAUAAAACUUAAUGAUAAAAACAUAUCAUAAAAAAUGUCUAAAUCUCACCAAUUGUUGUCUGUUUGUUUAACAGUAAACAAUUUGAAGAUGCUCGAGAUCGAUACACUAAACAUAAAACUUUUUGCAUAAUACAAACACUUGCUAAUUCAAUGGACAUUGUAGCAAAUUGGAGCACUCACCAUUGUUUCAGGAAAGGACGUUGGAAACGGAGUUGUUUGUUGAAUACUAUUGUUGAUCACAUUGUUCUGUCCACCUUGAUCAUUGCAUGAUAUGGAGCUUUGGUUGACUGGAACCUCCGGUGGCGGCCUGCUUCCAUGGACAGUGACGACAUUAUAUUGUUUUUUGGGAAUAAUAGGAUAAACUGAAGAAUAACUAAACUGCAAGCAAUCAUCUUCUGAUAAAAUAUGCUUAAGAAUGACGUACGAGAGAAGCUCAAGGUCGGGCAAUAGUGAUUCAAAGUUGUCAACCUCCUCCAUAAAAGAUGGUUGGAACCCUUCCAUCUGACCAGAAAAGAUCAGAAAAAACAAAAAAACUGAGGUCUAAAAAGAACAGAAAGCACAGAUCAGAAAAGAAUAUAUAUAUAUAUGUGUGUGUGUGUGUGUGUGUGUGUGUGUGUGAAUGACUUUCUUGUUGGUUAAAGAAAUUCGGAUGAAAAAUAUGAAAUAUAAAUGUUGUUGUUAAUGAUUUAAUCCUUUGUCUUUUAAGAUAAAUUAUGAUACUCAAAUUCUUUUUAUGAUAGAUAGAAAGAUGCAGGAUAACUGUUGAAGGUAGAAGAGCUGAUUGUUUUGACGGGGUGAACAAAAACCUCUUUCAACUCCUCUUUAUUCAUAAUUUGGGGAGCAAAACAAAUGCAAGAUUCAUUGUUUACUGUUAAACAAACCUCUUUCAACUCCUAUUUAUUCUUUUUUAAUUAUUCUUAUUUUGUUUAUUGAAAGGUAAUUACCGAUCAAGUUAAUUCAUUGAAUCAUUGUACGAAAAAAAGUUGAAAAAUAUUGAAUAAAAAUGAAUGGCAGUCCCAUUAAUUGGAAAAGAAAAGGGUGAAUCUAAAAUAAGGAGUUAAAAACGGCAAAGAAUCUUGAAAAGACGAAAACAAAUGAAUUCAGUAUUGAUUUAGUAUGAACUCUCUCCACAAGGCAUGGAUUAUAAAAUCCGAGAAAAAGAUCAAUUUGUUUAUCAUGGAUUCCUUUAAAGAUUCAAACCAUACUUACAUAUAUAAAAACAAAAACACCAACAAGAUGAAGUACAAAUAAUUUACCAACAAGAUUCAAGUGCUGGUUUGCUUGAGCAGUGAUCAGCCAAAAGAAAAGGAAGAGAAAUCACAGAUCACAGAUCACAGAUCACAGAAGAAUAUAUGGUUUAGAAUAUAUGGAUUUUGUAUGGUUUUCUUUGCUUUGGUUUUUUUUAAGCUGCGUUUUAUCCUUCAUAUGACUUUAUGCUAUAUUAAGAUAUUGUAUAGCUUCUGAACUAUUCCCUUCAGGCUUUGACACUUAUAUAAUAUACGUAUCUUUCAAAAAAAAAAACAGAAGAAUAUAUGGUUUAGAAAAAUAAUAAAGUUGCAGCAUACAUAAAUCUAGUUCGCACUGAUCAUGAGAUGUGGAAAGGAAAAUAGGAAUUGUAUAAUGAGAUGAGAUGUGGAAGAGAAUGUUACAGCAGCAAGGUCGCCUCAAUAAUAAUAAUUAAUUAACGUAUUGUUUGCUAGGAAGAAAGUUGCCAGGAAGCAACCCAAACAUUACAUUAUAAGAUAUAGACAGUUAACGUGUGGACCCGUCCCAAUAGUGACACUUCGAAGAAGCUGCCAAGAAAAUGUAAACACAUGAAAUUUUCAAAAAAAAAUGGUAUAUUUAUGCAUGUUGUAAAUUUUUUUUAAUUUUUUUAAUUUAAAAAUAUAUUAAAAUAAUAUUUUUAAUUUUUUAUAUCAUAAUAUCAAAAUAAAUAAAAAAAAUAAAAAAUUAAAAAUAAAAAAAAAACACAUUGCGACUGUAAAGAUAAAUCAGUUUUGACAAGGCUAGAUUAAGUGUGCAAAUGAGAGUGAGGCUCCAAAUCUAAUUACGCAGGAAUUACUAAUUCGGAUAAUUUUCCAUCUUUUUCCGAGUUUUUCGGUUAAAAAUAUAAAGAUUUUUGUGGUGAUUGUAGCCCAACUUUGGGGUAUCGAGUCUCCACGGAGACAAAUUAAAAAAAUAAAAAAAAAUACUAUUUUAAAUGAGUCCAGGCUGGUUCAAAGUGAAUUUCACGACUCCUGGGCCUUGACUUUUCUGUGAGAGCUUCAACUCUACAUUGGAAUGUUUUUUCUUAAACUGUGAGAGCCUCAUAAUAAGCAUAAUGAGGGAAUUUUUACUAAACUAUUAAAUCUUAACAUAAAAGGGAAUUUUUACUAUUUAUCCACGAAUGAUACAAAAAUCUAUACUUUUUAUUAAAAUGAAUUCCUGAACCUAGUCGAAGAACUGUGGCAAAAACAGUUGAAGGAUUCCAACCUAACACAUGAAUGGGGUGGUUAUAUUUUGUCUUGUAUACCUGUGAUUAUUUUUACUAUAUGAUUUCGUUAUGAAGUGAGAUUCACCACACCAGUUAAUUAAAUUAUUUUUAUUUACAUAAAAUUUAUAUUUUUUUAACUUUUACUAUAUGAAUUCGUUAUGAAGUGAGAUUCACCACACCAGUUAAUUAAAUUAUUUUUAUUUAGAUAAAGUUUAUAUUUUGUUAACUAAUAUUAACAAAUUACAGUGUAGAAAUCUUAAAUUGAUUGAUGAAUGAUUUUAUUUUUCAAGUUAUCAUUUAAGAUUUUAAUAUAUUUAAUAGUUCGAAAAUUACAUUUAUUGUUGAAACUUUAAAAAUUAUGAAGAAAUUAUAGUUUCAUUGGCUAAGAAAUGCAGCAUGCCCACUUGGAAUUAUACGUCAUCCAAAUUCCAGGGUAAAUAAUAAUUCCAGCAUUAGAUUAAUUAAUUACACUUUAUUGGUUAUUUUUUUAGAUACAAUUUUAAAGAUGAAGAGAUACAAUCAAGGUGAAAAUAUUUUUAUUAUUUUUUUGGCUUUAGAUUAAUAUUUUUUUUAGUAUUUUUAUAUCAUUUUGAUAUACUAAUGUAAAAUAUAAAUAUUAUUUUAAUGUAUUUCCAAAUAAAAAAAACUUUGAAAAAAAUCAUUACUACAAUAUUAAAUAUUAUCUUAGUCCAUGAUAGUAUACUUGCCUUUCCAAUUUUCAAGAAAACAAAUAAAAAUAAAAUUCAAGACUUGUGUCUGCUUGACAACAUGGUAUAGUAUUGUACAAAUAGAUUGAAGAAAGAGGAGGCCUACGCAUUUAAUUUGGACUUCCUCGUGGAUGCUAUUCCUUCAAAUAUGGACUAAAAUUGUUUUAUAUCACAGCUAGGCAGAUAGCAAAAGUCUAUUAGAGAGAGGGCAGAAAGCCUUAAUUAGGAAAUAACUUCAUAUUCUGGGGGUAGAAACCCCACGAACGCAAUCAAGCAUUGGCUUCAAACAAAGAAGAGGGAGCUUCAGUGCAGUAGGAAACUUCAACAUUCAUUGUGGUCUAUUCAGGAACGUAGUGCAAAUCAUAAUUUUUUAAAAUUUGAAAUUUUAAAAAAUAAAAAUUAUUUUGUUUAUAUUUUCAGAUUGUUUUAAUGUGUUGAUAUCAAAAAUAAUUUUUUAAAAAUAAAAAUAUUAUUUUAAUGCAUUUCUAAACGAAAAACACUUUAAAUCAUAAUCGCUACUAUAAUCCCAAACAUACCCUUAUGAUUUGCUAUCCAAUCAGCACAUCAAUUCUCCAUUAAUACAAAGAUGUUUUUUUUUUUCUUGUCUGGAAAUUAUCAACCAAUAACUUUCUAUCUUUUUUCAAGUUUUUCGGUGAUUUUUUUAUCUCAUAUUCAUGAACUAAAAAAUAAAUAAAAUAAAAUUUUACAUCAAAAUUAAAAAUCAAAAUCAAAAUGCAAAAUGCAAAAGCUUUAGGGACCAAAAUUUUAAAAAACACACCUAGGCUUAUGACCCGGGAUAUUAAAUCGAAAUAACUCUAUAAAAAAACGAAGAAAAUCAUGAAACUCAAGGCCACAUAUCCUAAUAUUGAAGGACAUUGAAAAAAAAGAUAUUUUUUAAAUGACCUGAAAAAAAAUACUAAAAGUUAAUCAAACUAAUUUUUAAAACUCGUGACUUGGGUUGUGAAACCAAGAUCACCUAGAAAACAAAAAUGAAAAAACUUAAAACUAAAAAUAAAAUUGGAUGGUACCAUAAUUAAUGAAAAAAGAAAAAGAGAGGAUAAUAACCCUGGUUCGUAUUUGAAGCUCACAAGUCAUGAAGGUUGGUGUCCGUCCCUUUACAUCAAUGGGACCAUAAUUAAUGGGUAAGUGUAAAGUUGUCAUCUCUCAUGCAAGUGGCUCGCACCAAGUAGGUUGUUAAAAUCGUGAUUUUAACACGGUACGGAAAACAUUACACAAACUCGAAUCGUAAAAACGGAUUGUAAAAUCGUAAAAUCAUAAGGAAUUUUAAAAUACAUUAAAAAAAAAUUUAUGUUCCAAAUAAAAUUUCAUACAUAGUUCAAGCACCUUAAAAAACAUACUUUAAAUAAAAAUUCAUACAUAUUUCAAGCCUUCAAAACUACAGCUAAAGAAGAAGCAAUGAGCCAUAUAGUGAAGCAUAAAGAUUCCCCAAGGGCAUUACAGGCCUCCAAAUCUGCAGAUGGAUCUUAUAGAGUUGGUAACAAAGGAAAGAAAAAUGCUCCUCCUGUCGAUCUCAAGGAGUCUCUUAAAGUUCUUGCUAAACUUCAUGAAGCACCUUGGUAUUAUAAUGAAACUAAAGAGCAUCCAAGAUCAUCAUAUGAAUCAAAAGAUGGAUCUUGGCAUACAAUUCCAAAAGAUGCUGCUCGGUUUUCCUGUGAUGGGUGGGGGAUCAAUCAUUUGUCAUUUGAAUCUCGAGAUACCAUCAAGUCCACCCCAAAACUAAAAGAGCUUCCAAGACUUUCACUGGAUAGUAGAGUAAUUUCAGUGAGUGGAUCCAACAUUGAUUCUAGAUCAAAUUACCUUUCAAAAGAUCUAGAAAGCAUCAGCAACUCAAAUGAAAAGAUCUUUACUCUGCAGCAAUCACUGAAAACUCAGAAACAGCCAGGUUUGAUCAAGAACUCAUUGGUGGAACAUGAUGAUUCCUUCUCGAAAUCAUUGAAAACAAACGAUCCAAACCGACCAAUCCAUAUUCUGAAGUCUCAGAGAAACUCGGUGAAAGAUCCAAUAUCACCCCGGUGGAAGAAUCCAGAUUUGGUCAUGAAACCCAAUUCAAGGCUGCCAAUUGAACCAGCACCAUGGAAGCAGCUGGAUGGAAGUCGAUGUUCUUUGAAACAACCUUUCAAGCCUGAAAAAGUUCCUGGGAAGACACCAAAUUUGUUCCCUUCAGUUUAUCUGUUCCAAGCAGCACAGGACCUUCUACAUGUGCUGGAGCCAAUACGCAGAAAACAAACUCUAACAUCAUAAUAAUUAUGAUCAGGUCACUCAAUUGCAAUCAGCCUCAUCACUCUAUCAUAUGUAUAACCACAAAGUAAUUUCAUUCAAAAUCAACAGAUAGGUCAUCACCGAAACAGAUUAGAGAAAAACAUACUUGUAAGAAAACUCAGGUAUCCCAGAAACUGAAAUCACAUGACUCCUCUUAAAUCCUUCCAGCCACAAGGGCACCCUGUUUCUUCCGGCUUUCACAGGUGACUCUGGAUCAAUGGUCGAGUCAGACAUAACAUUACAUGCAUCUGCACCAUUAGCCCGGAUAGGGAUCUUCGCCGCCCUCCUAGAAUUGCUACUUCCAAUCUGCGACCGUGUAGAGAAGAGAAGAGAAGAGAAGAGAAGAGAGAAGACUGAUAUCGGUGAAGAGAAGAGAAGAGAGCCUUCGAUCUGUUAGAGCCAAUAGGAGCGCGACACGUGGCAACAACAUUGAAUUAAAGUUUCCUGCGGGCAAACUCGUUCAAUCGGUGGUGAAAUCGCGAUUUUAUACGAUUUCACCCAAUUUUAAUGAUUUGACCUAAUUUUACUCAUUUCCGAGUUUUAUAUACGAUUUAGCAUGUAAAACCUAUAUUAACUCGUAAAAACGUACAAUUUUAAUAGUUGAAUCGCGAUUUUAACAACCUUGGCUCGCACCAUUUAAGAGAUCGAAGAGACUCUGUCUAGCCAAAAAGGUCGUACAUUAAUCUAUCCAUUCCAUCAAGUGGCGAAAUAGAACUCCAGGUGUUGAUAUCUAUAAAUGGUCACCAAACAAGUUGAAUGGUUAAAGAAAAAUUAGUUUUAGUUAUCUUCCAUUAGAAAUAUAAUUUUGGCCCCAAGAACUGAUCCAGGUGUUGUUCAUGUCUGAAAGGGAAAAAAAAAAAGCUUAAUGGAAUAUAAAUUUCUGCAGAAUUGGAGAGCUAAGCUCUGUUUAAGCUGUAGCGAAUACUGUCUUAACUCAAGCAUUCAUGAGUUGAACAAACUAGCCUUUCAUUUUUCUGUUGUUCUGCUAUUCCGGACUUUAUGUCUUUAUCUAUGUUAAAAAAACAUUUCAAUUCAAUAAUUUAAAUUAUUACGUGAAGUUUUAAGAUAUAAUUUAUAUUAUUUUUUAAUACACUCUUUUAAGUGAAAGCCAUUUGGGCUUGCAGACUCAUAUUAUCUUAUGCUUAAUUUUUAUCAAAUAAAUAAGAAUGAUGAGAUUCGAACUAGGCUUCCAGACCCAUAUUACCUUAUGCUUAAUUUUUAUCAAAUAAAUAAGGAUGAUAAAAUUCAAACUCGUGACCGCUUGGUCAUUAAAGCUCUAAUACAAUAUCAAAGAACCAUCUCAAUCCAAAAGUUUAAGCUGUUAAGUAAGGUCCCAAUAUAUGAUUUAAAUUAUUCUCUAACACACCCCCUCAAAUGAAAGCAUAUAAUUUAUAUUAUUCUCUAAUACACUUCUUCAAGUGAAAGCCCUUUGAGCUUGCAGACCCAUAUUAUCUUGUACUUAAUUUUUAUCAAAUAAAUAAGGAUGAAGAGAUUCGAACUGGACUUACAGAUCCAUAUUACCUUGUUCUUAAAUUUUAUCAAAUAAAUAAGGAUGAUGAAAUUCGAACUCGUGACGGCUUGAUCAUUAAGGCUUUAAUACCAUAUUAAAGAACUAUAUCAACCCAAAAGUUUAUAUUAUUAGAUAAGGUCUCAAGAUAUGAUUUAAAUUAUUCUCUAAUACACCCUCUCAAAUGAAAGCUCUUUGGACUUGAAACUUAUACAGACCUAUAUUACUUUAUACUUAAUUUUUAUCAAAUAAAUAAAAUUAAUAAAAUUUAAAAUCAUAACCGUUUAGUCAUUAAAACAUUUAUAUUAUUCUAUAACAACUAAAUUUUUUUUUAAACGUAGCCACCCAGUAAUGAGACACCCAACUAGCUAGGGAAACGAUGAACCUCUUUUUGACGGCCUUGUAACCAAGCAGAUUGGAAAAAAUAACCAUGCUCCUAGCCCAAGCCCACCAACAUCACCCCUAGCAGAUUGAAAAAAUGCUCAUAACCAUUUCGGAGAAAACACACCCAGACUAUUAUGAAAGUGGAAAUAAAUGGAUAUUAAUCAUCAAAUAAAUCGUUAGCAGAAACCAAAAAAAAUAAAUAAAAAAUGUUCAUACCACUCCAUCUUAUUGAUGGGAAUGACUUCUGACCUGCAUACAUAUGCAAGGACUCCUGCUAAAAUUAUCUGAUAAAUUAUCAUGAAAAAACUUAAUAAAUCAGAAAAACAAUUAUGAAAUGCUUCGUAAAUUAAAUGAAAUGGAGAAGAAAACUCAGGAAAUAAAUGUUCAAUUCACUUUCAAGCUGACAAUAAAAAAUGAAAGCAUUUCUAUUCAAUAAUAUUUCUUGGCUCACAAAUAAGCUGGCAAGAAUUAUAUGAAAAUCAAAUCUCCCCAAUCACAUGGUCGUAUAAAAUACUUAGCACUCAAAAAGAAAAUUUAUAGGUCAACUCUGUUCAACUGUGCAGGUGGACAACAAAUUUACAAUCCAAGGAAAAAAAUUAGAAAGCAUUCCUCAAACAGGUUGGAAAAGAUACCAGAGAAGAUUAUAAGCAAUAGUAGCAGAAAAUAUAGAGAGCAUUAUUGUGCAGAAAAAUGUGAUAUAAUUACAAGAAAAGCUCAUCCUAACUUCCUUGGCUAUUGCUUAUGAUGGCAGUUUCAGGUUUAGAAACCAAAACUCAUUCAAUAGAAAAUGAAUGUUCAGUUCAUAAUCUCUCAGAGGCAUUUAAUAGAGAAUCUUAGCCUUUCCUCAUUUGAUCUCCUUAGUGCAUACUACUUCAUAAAACUCAUUUAACAGAGUUUCUCAGUUAUUUUCCCAAACCGAGUUGAUAAACAAGAAUUAGCUUUUGAUGAAUUAAGCAAGGUUGGAAAGGGGAAGAGAGCUACAUCUUGUGUUCUUACUUAUCCAUCUCUUAACCACUUCCUAUGGAUAAGCCAAUUAGGGCUUAGCUUAGUGAUUUCAACGAAUUAAAAUAUUUUUAAUUCAAGUUUUGAUAGCUGGAAACAUGGGAUUUGUUUAUAGCCAGUGACUAUAUAUUACCAGACAAAAGAAAUUGAUUGGUUAUGUUUCACUGCUCCCUAACAUGGCAUUUUUAAUUAAAUUAAUAAUAAUAAUAAUAAUAAAUGCUUUUCACUUGCUCUAAAAUCAUAGUUUCUUCUUUGCUUGAUAUAUAUAUAUAUUUUUUAUUAGUAUUUAGAUUUCACAAGGCAACCCACUUCUCUUUUUUUAUUAUUACUCACAGAACCGCUUGUUCUAAACUGCUAGCAGGUUGCCUCUCUGAGUUUGGCUAAGGUUAUUAAUGAGUUUCUUCCCAUGAUGUUAUUGUUUAAUGUAUUAUUUUAAUUUUUAGGGUUUAAAUGAUCCAUUUAUGACCAACCUAAAAAGGUGAAAUUAAGUUGAUCAUCCAGAAUGUAUAUAAAAAAAUCAAAAAUAAAUUUAUUAUAUAUAUAUGCACCUCGCUCGAUAAUUCUUUAUAAUUUUAUUAAUCAAGAAAAUAUGACUUUGCAUGUGCGUCGGACAUGGCGAUAAGAUUUAUGCUGAGGAUAAACAUAAGAUUUGGUGGAAAAAAGAGAUUAACGCGUUUUAAGAGGCAACUUGUACUAUAAUAAUGGAUUUAAAUAGAAAUCAUCGACGGAUUUGAAUACAAGGCAAAACUAAAAUGUUUUAUGCAUUAAAGACGUCACUAAAGAAAACAAUAAGGACCCAAUCGUGAAUUGGUUAUAAGUUGGGGGCUUGUACGAAGCUAGCCCUUAUCCAAACCAAUGAAGCAAGUGGGAUAUAUCCAAUUUGCUAAAGUGGUGGGUGCCUAUGUAGUGCUACGCUGUAUUUUGAUUUAGAAUUCAGCUUAUUGAUUCAAAUGUAUUCAAUAACUUCAAUUAAUUUAAUAAUAUAUAUAUAUAAAUAAAUAAUAAAAAAACCAACAAUGAUUAAUUAGAAAAAAUAAACUUUUGUCAAUAUUAUAAAAAGAUACCCUCUAAUUAUUUUUUAAAAAAUCUUAACGAUCUUAUUUCAUUACAAUAUAAAAAUUCAAUGUAAAUGAGAUAAUUUUAUGAAAUAAAAAAUAAAAAAAUAUAACGUUUAAUUUCUAGAAAAAUAUUAAGUUGAAAAAUAAACUAGAAAAACACAUCAAUUUAAUAAAUAAAAAAACACGACUCAAAUUAGGAUACCAAAUCAUGACCAGGAUAAACCUACGUAUAAAAAAUCAAAUAAAACAAUAGGAAUCAACUCUAAGCAAACUAAAUGAACUCCUAUACUAAAGGCAGAAGGAUUUAGAGCAACAUUCUUCCCGGCAACAAUGCCAGCUUACUACAGAACUCCUCCUGUCCAAUCCACUCAUGAUAGAGAAACAGGGAAAUAGUUGUUUAUUUUAUUGGUAAAGGAACCGAUUCUUAUCAGCUGAAUUUAUGAAGAAUGAGGUACAACAUGAACAAACAUGAAACAAUCCUCAUGAUGUACCACAUGAAACGAAUAAGAUGAAUCUCAAAAUUGUAUCUCCAUUGUAUUUUGAGUUUUCCAAAAUAAUAAUAAAAAAAAUAAUAUAUGUAAAUGUUGUUUUUAAUGAUCAUGAAUCCAUUUAGUUAAAUAACGUUGAGAAAGGGUUUUGAUAGUUAUUGCACACAAACAUGAAAGAGCUUUGUCUUCACGAUUUGACUCCAGAAAUAGUCAUCCGAUUCCAGAUGAAAUAUAUAUUGAUAAAAAUAAUAAAUAAACAGAGCAAUCAAUAAACUAAGAGAAGAAGAAGCUAUAAGGUUUCGAAGAUAACAAUAAAAAUAUGGAGUGUGAAGGCAUCAAGAAAACCUUAUAUCUGAAAUUGCCAGAAAUGGAUGAGGUGUUCCUCUCUAAACGUUACACUUGUCUUCAUCUUCAGUUUCCAACUUCCUCAAGUAUGCUACUUCUUUUCCUUUAACUGUUACUGGAGCUGCACGCCAAACACCAAAUCCAUCGAGACCCGGUUGCUGUAGUACGAGGAUUUGCAGGUGAGGGAGUUUAGGCAAUAUCCCGGUAGGAAACAUCUUCUGACCGCAUGCAUUGAGUCCAGGAUACCUGGGGUUGGAUAGACAUUCCAUGGCUUAAGGAAUCAUUUCUAGUGCAGUACCAUAGAGAUCCAACCUCUAUAGUGCCCUAAGCUUUCUUAAUGAUGGUACAUGUCUUAACAUAUCACAAGCAAUGAGCAAUGAGCAACAAUGCAGAGACUCACCAAAUCGAAGAAAAAAUUAGGCAAAUUUCAUAACUUGGAGCACUUUCCAAUAAGGAGACAUUUUCAAGUUUAUUAAGCAUCGCAUGGCCUUUGUAAACUUCUGCCACCCUACUCUGCCGUUUUAUAACUCCCUCAUCAAUCAAAUAAGCUAUCAAAUCCUCUCUAGUGAAUACAUCCUCGUCCAUAUCAUCUUGCCUAACUCUUGAUUGCCUCAGGUCCUCUAAAGCAUUCCUCCACUCGUUUAUGCCAUCCACCCCCUUCAUGGCUCCAGCCAUUGUUAUAAUUCCUAGCGGAAAACCAUCACACUCCUUUGUGAUAGAUUUUGCAAUUUGUUCCACUUCUGGACAAAGUGUUAUGUCAUGUCCGAGUCUCUUAAUAAACAAAGUCCAAGCCUUUUCCUCCAAAAUAGGCUAAAUAGGCUUCACUUUGAUCAUGUGUAGGGUAUUUAUUUGUUGACAAACCUUUUUUGAUCGAGUUGUAAGAAUAAACUUGCAUCCUUUAACUUUGACAAGAACUCCCAGCUUCUGUAACUCAAUAGUGUUCCACAAAUCAUCUAAAAUCAAAACCCAUUUCUGUAUCUUCAUUAAUUCUUUUCUCAUUUCAACUGCUCCUCGUCUUCAUUAAAAAGAUUUAAACCAAUACAUCUUCCGAUACUGCCCUGCAAUUUUUUAAUGCUGGUAUCUUGUGAAACAGUAAUCCAGUAAACAUGAGAGAAAGUAUCUGGUCUACAUAGAAGCUGAUUAUACACAUGCAUCACCAAAGUUGUCUUCCUCACUCCUAAUAAUAAUAGCUUUUUAAAAGCAACAAUAAAAAUUUGAUAUUCGGGUUAGUGAUUGGAAUCGAUUCAAUAAACUCAAUUAAGUUAAUAUAUAUAUACACACACACACAAUUGAUAAAAAAAAAAACCAAUAAUGACUAAUCAUAAAAAAUAAACGCUCGUCAGUAUUAUAAAAAGAUACCCUCUAAAUAUUUUUUUAAAGGUCUCAACGAUCUCAUUUGAUUAUAGCAUAAAAAUUCAAUGAGAAUGAUAUAUCCUCAGCAAAGCAAAAAUUGAAAAAUAAAUUGGAAAAAAACAACAAUUUCAAAAAAGAAUAAAAAACAUGACUCGAGUUAGGAUGCCAAAUCAUGACCGGGAUAAUCCUGCAUAUAAGAAAUUGAAUAAAACAAUGGAGGUCAACUCUCAAGCAAACUAAAUGAUGAAAGGUAAAACUGAAAAAAAAAAAAAAACAAGUGUCAAUCUGGGUUAAUUCGACUACCUUGUGAUCCAAGAUAUGAGAUCGGAAUAGCCAUAUAAAAAGAAAAGCAAAGAAAAUCAUGAAACUCAAGACCCAAUAACUCAAUAUUGAAGGAUAUUGAAAAAAAUUCAUUUUUUGUAAAUGACUUAAAAAAAAGACUAAAGGUAAAUCAAACUAAUCUUUGAAACUCGUGACUCGGGUCGUGAGACCAAGAUCACCCCACAGAAGGCAACACAAAAAAAAAAUCACGAAGCUAAAUUUCUAAUGAUCAUCUAAUUUUUUUUUAUAAAAAAAAAAUUAAAUGGCAAUCAAAACAUUUAGGAUCAAAUCUAGUGUAAAAACUAAAUGAAAGAAAAUAAUAAGGGACUAAAUCAGAAAAUAAAAUAAAUAAAUAAAUGAUAAAAAAUAAUCAAGAGAAUAAGGAUUAAAUUGAAUAAAAAAUUAAAUAAAAUAAAAAAAAGAGAGAUAUAAUUGAAAAAAAAACUAUAAAAAAAGAAUAAAAAAUAAGAAUAAAAUUGGAUGUACCAUAAUUAAUGUAAAGAAAAGAGAGGAUAAUAACCCUGGUUCGUAUUUGAAGCUCACAAGUCAUGAAGGUUGGUGUCCGUCCCUUUACAUCAAUGGGACCAUAAUUAAUGGGUGAGUGUAAAGUUGUCAUCUCUUAUGCAAGUGGCUCGCACCAUUUAAGAGAUCGAACAGACUCUGUCUAGCCAAAAAGGUCGUUCUUUAAUCUAUCCAUUUCAUCAAGUGGCGAAUAAAUGCUUCUUAAAUUAAAUAAAAUAGAGAAGAAAACUCAUGUAUUAAAUGUUUAAUUCACUUUCGAGCUGACAAUAAAGAAUGAAAGCAUUUCUAUUCAAUAAUAUUUCUUGGCUCACAAAUAAGUUAGCAACAAUUAUACGAGAACCCAAUCACAUGCUCAGCACUCAGAAAGCAAAUUUGCAGAAUAACAAGUCUAGUAAACUUCUUGAUUUAGGGCAACAAGAUAAUAUAAACAAAAUGUAACAGUUGAACUCACUUUCUCUCGAAAAGGAUCCAGAUCCUCUGUCACCAAUAACUCCUGGAUUCCUAUGUCAACUCUGUAUAACUGUGUAGGUGGACAACAAAUUCACAAUCCAAGGAAAAAAAAAUUAGAAAGUAUUCCUCAAACAGGUUGGAAAAGAUACCAGAGGCAAGAAGAUUAUAAGCAAUAAUAGCAGAAAAAUAUGAUAUAAUGACAAGAUAGCUUAUGAUGACAGUUUCAGGUGUAGAAAGUAGAAACCAAAACUCAGCAAACAAAAAAUGAAUGUUCAGUUCAUACUCUCUCAUAGGCAUUGAUUAGUUUACUUUAAUAAUAAAUCAAUAUAGUAUUUGUUUUUGGGAUUUUCAUCUUGGAAAAACUCAAUAGGAUGAAAAUAUAAUAUUAAUCAAACUUCAAAUUAUAAUUAUUUAUCUAUCGAGUUAAAAAAAAAGAUAUGACAAUUCAAUAGUCUUAAUUAAAAAGAUAAUGAAACAAAAAAAAAUGUAAAAUGUUAUUUAUGUAAUUGUAAGCACAUUAUAUAAAAAAGAAGUAUUUCAUAAUAAUAAACGCUCUUUCUUUCUAUGAAUUCAUGUUAGGCUUGAUUCGGCUCUAAAAAAUUAAUUUACUGCUCAGAUUUAAUAUCUAACCAUGUGGCUAAUUUCUAGGAGUUCCUUUUUUGAAAUCCUCAUUCGAGGCUAAUUUGUAGCCCUUCAAGAUACCUUUCCAACGCGUUAAGAAUCACAGCAAUCCUGUGAGUGGAAAGUUAUGAUUAAAAUACUUUUAAGUGUGUGGAGGUUGGUUCAAAGUGAAUUAAUUUGACGACUCCAGCUGGGCCUUGACUUGUCUGUUUAAUUUCUAUUAUUUUUAUUCACAUUUUAGCAUUUUAUUCCAAUGAUCGAAUGCACUUUCAUAGACUCAUCAAAAUCCCAGGAACGCAAUCAAGCUUUAGCUUCAAACAACCAGAGGGAGAUUCAGUGCAGUGGAGAACUUCAACAUCUACUAUGAAGCUUGAUUUGCUAUCCAAUCUGCACACCAGUUUUCAAUUGAUACAAAGAUACUGUAUUUAUUUUUGUUGCCGGAAAGUUGUCGGCCAAUAACUUUUUAUCUUUUCUCAAGUUUUUUUUAUGUGAUUUUUUUUUGCUUUCAUCUGAAACUCGUGAACUAAAAGGUAAAUAAAAUAAAUUUUUUUUUGCUUUCAUCUGAAACUCGUGAAUUAAAAGGUAAAUAAAAUAAAAUUUUAGAAUAAAAUACAAAAUAUAAAAUAUAAGAUGCAAAAAAAUUAUAUGGAUCAAAAUUUAAAAAAUAACGCCUAUGCUACUUUAUAGUUUUAGUAUUAAAUUUGGUUUUAGAAGUUUCACUUAUUUAAAAAAUGUGCUUAUGAAUAUGACAGUUUCAGGUUUAGAAACCAAAACUCAUCUAAUAGAAAGUGUAUGUUCACUUAUACUCUCUCAUAGACAUUUAAUAGAGAAUCUUGGCCUUCCUCAUUUGAUCUACAUCUUGUGCAUAGAAGAAUACUUUCUAGAGCACUGAAAUUUAUGAUGUCUUCAGCUUACAUUUCACCGGUGAUGAAUACUUUUGACUUUUGACUUUUGACUUGUUUACACCGGUGAUGAAUACUUUUGACUUUUGACUUUUGACUUGUUUACGAUGUUUGUUGUGAUUUGGAUCGACCAGAAUUCAAGAAUGUGUCUUCUCUCUCUCUUUUUAAUCUGUAUUAUAUAUAUAUUUUUAAAAUAAUUUAUUGCUAGUUAAUGAUAUAAGAUGAUUUAUAAUAGUGAUUAGAUCUAUUAUUUUAUUAGGUUACUUUAAUGAUAAAUCAAUAUAGUAUUUUAUUUUUAUUUUUUGGAUUUUCAUCUUGGAGAAACUCGAUAAGGAUGAAAAUAUAAUAUUAAUCAAACUUCAAAUUAUAAUUUUUAUCUUGAGUUAAAAAAAAAUAGUCUUUAAUGAAAUAAAAAAAAUGAAAAAUGUUAUUUAUGUAAUUGUAAGCACACUAUAUUAUAUUACUUUACAAAGGGACGAAGGACAUCCUUUGCGUUAGGAUGCUCCCACUCCACUACUGUCUCCCACCAUUCUUUUGGAUAUUGAUUUUUUAAGAGAAGGGGGAGGAGAUGGCUGGCCAUUUUCAAGCAACGGAAGACAAAUUGGCAUCCUCUUCAGCUUCUCACAAUCAUUACAUAAUAUCUUCAAGAGAAUUGCAAAUCAGUUUUGCACUGCAAAUGCUUUUCAGUUCUGGUAAUAUACAAUUCCAGAGUUCUUAACUUUGGGAGAAUGACUUCCGUGAUGGAAUUGGAGGUGCUGCUUUCUUCAUCUGUUGUUCCUAUUAUCUCCUCCAUUUUCUCACAAUCACAUCAAUCCUUUCCAGGUUUACGAGGUUUGGCAACAACACAAGCGGGAACACUUCUUCAUACUUUACAUAACACAAAAAACUCUUUAAGACCAGAAAACGUACCGUUACAUGAUGGCAAUCGUGGUGGAGCAGAGCAGAACCAAGAAGAUGAAACCAAGCUCUCCAUGUUAACACCCGAAUGCUGAUGCGCUCCAGUUCAGUUGCAUUCUCUAAUGACAAAACAUCACAUAAACUUCUUGCAUCGAUGCAUUACAAAUCAGUCCUUGAAUGCCAUUUAAGAACUUGACCUGAAAAUCUCUAUCUCCGUUGAUACUCAAAUUACCCAACCCAACUGUUUUACUUGGAAAAUAUUCAAUGUUGCUCAAUAUCUACCCACCUCUCCUACUAAAAUCUUAUGUGCUUAAUGAUAAUCCCAUCCCGAGAUCUGAGAUACUCCACGAAGUCAGAAAACCUUCGAAAUGGCAUUCCAAAGUUUCCAAAUUUCUCAAGGAUCCUACUUCCUUUCCUUUAACUGUUAUCGGAGCAUAUCUUCCUUCUAGUACAAAGACUUGCAGGUGAGAGAGUUUUGGUAAUAUCCCACUAGGAAACUCCUUUUCACCACAUCCAUUCAUUCUAAGAUACCUCAGGUUGGUUAGGCAUUCCAUUCCUUGCGGCAUCUUUUCAAGCAGUAAGAGAGAUCCAACCUCUUCAGUGCCUGAGCUUCUUUAAUGAUGGAACGUCUUAAUUUCCACUUACUGAGCAAUAAUGCAGUGAGACUCACCAAAUCAGAGACAGAGUCUGGCAAAUUUUCAAUACCUGUGCAAGACAGAUCGAGGACCUUGAGCCCAUGCAAUUGCUUGAAAAAUGAAUCCGCAACAAAUCCCAACCCUUAUUAUCACAUAGAAAUAGAGUUGACAGAUGGACACUUGGUGAAUGGCUGGAAGGAAUUUCUUCGAUCUCGUUUUGCAUUAGUGAAACUCUCGUCAGAUUCUCCGUCCACUCCUCUGCAUCUGGCAACUCUUUUAAUUGCGCACCUGCUUUAACCAUGACUUGAGAGUCUAGCAGUAUUUGGAUGGCCAUGUCCCUAAUCAAGUCAUGCAUCUUGACACUCUACAUACCCAUUUUAGCACUUUCCAAUAGGCAGACAUUCAAGUCUAUUAAGCAUCGUGUGGCCCUCAUCAAAUGCAUCUCCCCUGCUCCUCAUUCCUUUAAUUAUUCCCUCAUCGAUCAAAUAACCUAUUAACUCCAGCCUUUCAAUCCUAUGAUCUUCAGGAAAUAAUGCACAGUACAAGAGACAUUGUUGGAGUGCUAAAUCACCUAGCCGAUCAUAACUAAGCCUCAAUAACUUGAAUACUUUCAUGUCCCUAAAUUCCGAUUCUUUCAAUUUAUUCAAUGUAUUUCUCCACUGAUGGAGGUCAUCCACUCCCCUCAAGCUUCCUGCCACUGUAAUAAUUCCCAACGGCAAACCAGCACAUUCCCUUACAAUAUCUUUCGCAAUUCCUUCCACUUCUGGUGAAAGUGCUAUGUCACGUCCAAGUUUCUCCAUGAACAAAGUCCAAGCUUCU
rnacentral:lncRNA from 1 species